CCUACGGGUGGCAGCAGUCGAGAAUCAUUCACAAUGGGGGAAACCCUGAUGCUGCGACGCCGCGUGGGGGAAUGAAGGUCUUCGGAUUGUAAACCCCUGUCAUGUGGGAGCAAAUUAAAAAGAUAGUACCACAAGAGGAAGAGACGGCUAACUCUGUGCCAGCAGCCGCGGUAAUACAGAGGUCUCAAGCGUUGUUCGGAAUCACUGGGCGUAAGGCGUGCGUAGGCUGUUUCGUAAGUCGUGUGUGAAAGGCGCGGGCUCAACCCGCGGACGGCACAUGAUACUGCGAGACUAGAGUAAUGGAGGGGGAACCGGAAUGCUCGGUGUAGCAGUGAAAUGCGUAGAUAUCGAGAGGAACACUCGUGGCGAAGGCGGGUUCCUGGACAUUAACUGACGCUGAGGCACGAAGGCCAGGGGAGCGAAAGGGAUUAGAUACCCCUGUAGUC
rnacentral:rRNA from 1 species